CCUCCUAUCGGCAUCCUGCACCUCGGUGCUCAUCUCCAAUGAGAAGGACAUGGUGGGCGACCGACCGGCCGGAGUCAAGCUGUUGCAGGUGAUGGGCCGCUCCAGCAAUCUUCUCCGCCCUAGGAUUCUUUCUUCAAGGCCCCUGUACAGCCUCCCAAGGUGGCCAUCGGCACGGCUGGCGGUGCGGUGGAGGAGCUCGGCGCCCUCCUCUCCCCUCAGGUGGCUGGCGGAGAGCAGGAUUUUAGGAGCAGGUGCGGGCCACGGACGGCGACCAUGGGGAGGAGCAGCCACGGGACAGGGACGAACACCUCGGGGCGGUGGCGGCGUGGGCCUCUGGCGGUGACCUCGGGGCGGAGUAGGCGCGGGCCGGGGACGGCAACCUUGCCGUCGUGCGGAUGGAGGCACCGAUCGGCUGGCUCAGGUGGUCCGGCGACGCCAUCCAUGCCAUCACACAUCAUCCACCGAAUUACUACAUGCUGAGCGAUCUCGGGCGCGUCGUCUGUCUUGGUCGCCGGAACGCAGGCAACCUGCUCUGGAAUCUCUACGUCUUUUCUGCAGCCUUCCUGGAGAUGGACACAUCCGGGUUCUAGCAACACUACCCAAUUUUCAGCCAUUUGUAUUCUGUAUUGCAAGUUGUGGCAUAUUGAUCAAAUAAAAUUUUCAGCAAUAGAAACUGAUCCUUCUUUUUGGUGACUUUAGGUUCUGAGUAGCCUAAAGAACAAGGCCCACAUCGAUAUGAUUACCAUGUUGGAUUCAAAAUCAUCAGGAGUGGAGAAUUAAGAUGCAAUAAGCAUGUUGAUUACAUUACAUAUAUGCCUCACGACACAAGAGGUUCCAGGUCUAAUGGCAUUAAAGAGUGCCUUCAGGAGAACCCAUAGUUAUCUCUUAUACAUCACUGCUCAGCUGUAUUCUUUAUGGUACUUACACACUUGGUUAUGGAAGUGACAUGGCAUCUGGAAGGUUUGAUUUUAGUACGAUGAUGGUUCGGCUAUCACUAUCCAAGUUGUGCUCCCAGGUAUGUUUACACACUUGGUUAUAGUAUCAACUGGACUCAGUUACUUCAGAAAAUAGCUAUGUAUAUGAAAUGUAACACAUACCUAAUGGUGUCCUGGUACAACAACACGUUCUGCUCCGCUGGACGCCCUCAUCACCGGCAUAUCUACCAUAGCAUGCACUCUCGACACUGGUAUCGACAGUAUUGUUGUCCUCGCAGGGAUUGUGCAUGCAGAAACUCCUGAAGGCGAAGCACGUGCCAAGGUGAACGAUCAGGAGAGGUGGAGAUCAUCAGAACUAGCUCACCUCAGCCGGAAAAGUGAUUACAAUGACACAACCAGGCCAGGUUGUUGUGACCUGCAACCCACAGGAAACAAUCUUAGAAAGUGACAACAAGAAAUGGAGAAACUUAGGAACUGCUACUGCAUCAACUAAAAAAGGUAUACUUUAAGGACAUCUACAUACAAGCUAUACUAACUCAAUGUAUAUUCUUUUUCAGCAGUGCAGCUCAUGAGAAGAAAAAAUCAUCCAAGGAUUUGUUAUAUGUGAACUCGACAGAUGCUUCAAUUUCUUUUAUCCUCUUUUGAAUCAAUAAGAAAAGAGGAUGCUGAAACUGUUCUCCUCGGUCUCCUUCUAUUUUUUAGAUGGUUGAUUACUUCCUUGAUCUUUUUGUUAUACAUAUAUGUAACCGAGUAAGACUUUCAAAAUUUACUUCAUGCUUGCUGUCACACCUCAUGUAAAUUGUUUCCCGAUUGGUAAUGGAGAAAUUACUGAAAUCAGAAUGUCCAGAUAAAGCCACAUGGAGAUCAAGUUUAUAAAUAAAUGUUCCUAUGUCAUGGCAAGCAAGUAUAUGCAUUUUGUAGUUGGUUGAUGCCCAAAAGCAGUUUAUCCUUUACAAGGCAUGAUGCUAAUUUUCUAUAUAUGCAGGCCAAGUUUAUAAAUUGUGAAGGGAUUCUCAAACAGCCGUGAAAAAUACAUGGAGCAUGCGUGGACCCAAUAGGAAAAUAAAAAAGUUGGCGAUAAUAUGAAUUUCUAUCCUCCAUUUAGGCAACAGAAUAUGAUAUUUGAUUUGGUUUAUUUCUAUAUUUUUGGAUGGAGUUACAGCUUUUCUAUCUAUUUUAGUCGGUACAUUUUCUGGUGAGACCACUCCUUUAAACAAACUUCUGCUUCCUUUGUUUGGUCAUGAUGGCUCGGGCAUGCCCUAUGAUUUCGAUUCUUGAAUACUUGAUGUAUUCGUGCACCCAUUUAUCUAGCGGAACAAAGUAGCAAAGGUACCAUGCAGGUAAUUGUAGCUUCACCUACUGUUUUGGUGAAAACACGAAAGCAAGGAUUGGUAAGUAACCACCCAGUUCCUUCAGUUAGAAUUGUUUCCUUAGAUUUCUCUAACCACCUCCUCAUGUUCUAUUACCUUAUAGAAUUACUGACCAUUUAAUCAGAGAGAGGAAACCAUGGCGGAUGCUUAAAUUACAACAUCUAAUGAAAUAUGAUUAUUUAAAAUAGAAAAAUAACCAGUAUAUCUUUUAGUGCCCUCUACGUGCACAAUUGCCAGGAGAAUAAAAUGCAUGUGUGUGUUUUAUUUUACUCUCUUGCAAUCCUUUUCCACUGAACUGCAUGACUCCAGCAAAUACUGUAGAUUUAUUCUAGCAACACAAUUAUAAUACAUGGUAAAAAGAUUCCAAACAAUUUUCCCGUUUACAGUGAAUUGGUCGGUUAGUUACUUAGCCCUCUGUGUUGCCACCGAUCUCAGUUUUAAAUUUCACAUCAGCGAGCAAAGCAGCACGUUCAGGCACCUGCUAUUCUAUUUCUGUAAGCUUAUUUAAUACUCCAGCUCAGCCUUUGCCAUUGCUUUCACCUCCCACAUGAUUUCAUUUCCUCCCAUUUGCCCCUCCCCCAUCAUUUUUGGUUUCCCGGCGUGGACCUAUAAUGGCCACCACCCGUCGCCAUGAUUAAAAAAACCCUUCCUCCUGACCUUGACGACCACUGGUGCACAUUGGUGCAUGUCAUGCCAUGACAUGACAAUGUCAAAGUCAGCCGUGCCAAUGGUUUGGUACAUAAUUGUUUCUACACUCCGAUUCUUAUUCAGAUAUGCACAUACAUGUGAUUCCAGGUCUGCAACGAGAAACUGCAGUACUAUAAUAUGCACAACCCAGUAUGAUGGAUCUUCUGAUAUAUUGUGCACCCAAAAAAACAUCAACAGCAAAGCCUUUUUCCCAGGCAAGUUGGGGUAGACUAGAUAUGAAAGCCCAACAGAAAUAAAAGGAAGCCAAAACAAUAACGAGAUGGAAGAAGAGCGUAAACUAUGAUUCCGGCAGAUUCUGGCAUAUAUUGUGUACUAUACUUCAAAAAUAUUUUUCAUGACAUGGUUUACACUCUUCCUCGCCACCCUUGCCUUUUUGUCUAUAUCUUUCAUCUUUAGGUUGGACUUCAGGUAGAGCAUCGUGGGAACCAACUACUGAAGGUGUUGUUGUAUGAGUCUGCUUGCAAAGAUAGAGAAGCAAGGUCACCUUCACCCUUCACAGGGAUGGUUGUUCUCUUGUGGUACCGUACAGCUGUUCCCUCUGGUCAUUUGCAUUGUACAAGCUAAGACUAUUUUUGUAAAUUAGAAACCACAGAUAGCUAUUGGUUAUGUUAUCUUAAGCCUUUAUUCGAAUUUGAGCCUUGAAUAUA